rnacentral:rRNA from 1 species
GUAACACGUGGGCAAUCUGCCCUUCACUCUGGGACAAGCCCUGGAAACGGGGUCUAAUACCGGAUAAUACUCCUGCCUGCAUGGGUGGGGGUUGAAAGCUCCGGCGGUGAAGGAUGAGCCCGCGGCCUAUCAGCUUGUUGGUGGGGUAAUGGCCUACCAAGGCGACGACGGGUAGCCGGCCUGAGAGGGCGACCGGCCACACUGGGACUGAGACACGGCCCAGACUCCUACGGGAGGCAG